UACUAUUUUAUUAAUUAGAAAAAAGAAAAAUAUCCUAUAAAUUAGCACAAAACGUAUACAACCAUGAACCAACCAUCUUCUUCUAAACCUAGACCCAAUUUUCCUUUGAACGCCGAUCAGCCUUCUAUCUCGUUCAUAUUUUUUUUUCUCAUGUAAUACCACAUGCCGGAGACCAGACGACUAAGCCUUUCUGAGGAACAAACAAUUAGUACAGUUUCGAGGCAAGCAAGAACUGAGAUUGGAAUCAAUUGGGUCCCAAACAUGAGAACAUAGCCAUAUAAAGUGACACGUAUAUGUGAGAUUACAACCACUCUCAUUCUACAUGGCCUUCCAAGGUAUUGCUUUUGGUGAAUGGCGACACAUGCCUUUUUUUUUUUUUUAUCUAUAUCUAUAUAAUUAAAUAAUUAAAUAAUAUAUAUCAUUAGGUUUCUUAUUGGGACAAUCUUGACAGAUUCUAAAGCUGUAUAAAUCUGGCAAGAUGUCUUUAUAUAUGUAUGUGAUUAAGUAUAUUUGCUUAACUGGUAAUCGAUUAGAAUAAAUUAAAAUUUUUUAAUGUCUAACACAUUCUAUUAAAAUUUAUAGUUUAAAGUUGAUUAUGUUUUUUUUUGUGGAUAUAAAUUUUGAAGAAGCAGCCAUUGAUGUUGAAAAAGAGAAAACAUAGAGAACGAGAGUAUUUUAGCAGAACGUAUUCUGCCAGAUUGUAUUCUUUCAAAAUAGAUUAGUGUUCUGUUUUUGGAUUUUGAUGUUUUUAUUUUUAUUUUUUUAACCAUUAUUGGUUUUAAUCUUUAAGAAUAAAUGUAAUUCUUAAACCAUUAUUAAUCAUUUUUUUUUUCAGAA